rnacentral:lncRNA from 1 species
UAACAUUGGUUGCUUGUCUUAAGUUCUAAAUUUUCUUUAGUGAUAAAAUCCUUAUCCUUAUCCUUAAGGCUUAUUGUCUUAUAUUCAUCCAUUAAUUCAUUAAACGCAUCAUAUAACUCAUCAAAGGUAAAAUCUAAAUGCGUUUCAGAUGUUACCUCAUUUUCGUUUGCCAUAAAGCAUAGAUUGGCCUUUUCUUCUUGUUCCUCAUCCGAUGAUGAUGAUGUAUCGGAGUCC